AAGCAACACUCUGUGGCAGAUGAUCAAAAUUGUCUGACACAAUGUGAGCUUGCUACAGCCAGAAAGUCGAACCUAUUCUGGUGUUUUCUCGUCCAUGAGACAAGCUGUUAUGUAGAUUUAAAUAGU
ensembl:snoRNA